rnacentral:rRNA from 1 species
CUCUUGCCAUCGGAUGUGCCCAGAUGGGAUUAGCUAGUAGGUGGGGUAACGGCUCACCUAGGCGACGAUCCCUAGCUGGUCUGAGAGGAUGACCAGCCACACUGGAACUGAGACACGGUCCAGACUCCUACGGGAGGCAGCAGUGGGGAAUAUUGCACAAUGGGCGCAAGCCUGAUGCAGCCAUGCCGCGUGUAUGAAGAAGGCCUUCGGGUUGUAAAGUACUUUCAGCGGGGAGGAAGGCGAUAAGGUUAAUAACCUUGUCGAUUGACGUUACCCGCAGAAGAAGCACCGGCUAACUCCGUGCCAGCAGCCGCGGUAAUACGGAGGGUGCAAGCGUUAAUCGGAAUUACUGGGCGUAAAGCGCACGCAGGCGGUCUGUCAAGUCGGAUGUGAAAUCCCCGGGCUCAACCUGGGAACUGCAUUCGAAACUGGCAGGCUAGAGUCUUGUAGAGGGGGGUAGAAUUCCAGGUGUAGCGGUGAAAUGCGUAGAGAUCUGGAGGAA